UAAGUUCGCGACCAAGCCCAUCACCGCUGCAACAGCCAUGCUUGAAGCCACCCUAGAGGAAGCGGAAGGAGCGGCUGCUUCUUCAUCAGCAUCUUUGGGUGCCGGGGGCGUCUUCCCCUUCGUUGGAGCAUCGGCCGCUGGAGCGUCAGCUGGAGCAGGGGAGGGUGCACCAUCUGAGGCUUCCGAUUCUUCAUCAUCAGCUUCCUCCUCCUCCGAGGGAGCAGGUGGCGCAGCCUUCUUGGGAGCAGGGGAUGGAGGAGGGGAUCCCGGUGGUGGUGGAGGAGCAAGGACCGCCUCACCGAAGCCAGGGGCCACAAUAGGUGUGCUAACGUGAAGCACUGAUAAGUUGAAAGGCUGGGAAACUACAGACCCCAAAAGCUUAGAAACCAGCGGUGCACCCUUCACGGCCGAACCGAACACAACUUCACCUGGACCUAGCUUGGUAAUGUUCAAGAAGCCUUGUUGACCCUGAGCCAGGCCUGUGGUUUGGUAUAAUGUGGUGAGAAUGACGCUCUUCUUUCCCAGCUUUUGGAUCUUGAAAGUAUCGAAGUAGUCAAGGACAACGUGAUUCAUGAGGAUCUUCUUGACUUCAUCACU
rnacentral:lncRNA from 1 species